GUUGGGGGAGGGAGGAGGAGGAGAUUCAGUUGUCUGCAGUUCUGAGUGUUUGAAAGCAUCUAUUAAAAUCUGCAUUUAUGCACCAAUCAACCUGAGCUAUUGGUGGAGGCCUGCAGAGGACAGAGGAUAGUCAUGGGCAGAAAAGACUUUCACAUAACCCACAAGCUUGGGAAGCAAACUCAUUGAAGGAUAAAGAAGUAUGGCUCUGGGAGAAGGUGAGGAAACAGAGGUGCAGAGAUGCCAAGGAAACCCUGAAACCCACAGCUAGAUGACUCUGGAGAAGAUACCAUCUCUUAACCCAGCCUUGCAGCGAACUCUCAGAAAUGGUAAAAGUGGUCUUUUACAUCAGUGAUUUUCACCUGAUUUCAAGCAGAAGGGUAGCCAGAGACUGAAGAAUGGGCGGACAAGAAGAGAAACUUGGAGAGCAAUGCAUAUUACUGACAGCUGUCAUCAUCGUGCAGAGAUUCAGGAAACUGAAAUCUUUGUCUGUGAAACUGAAAUCUUUUUCUGCUUUACAUAGCACUCUCCAAAAGUUUCCACAUCCUUUCCCA